UUAGUGACUCAUCGGUGGAGAGGCUUCCAAGUUGAAGAUUUGUUGCUCAUCUUGCUUUCUUGAAGCCAAGAAGUCUUUGGAAAUGGAAAAAAGGUUCGGAGUAAGGAAUGAGGACUGAAAUGCUGAGAAUGAGAUGUUCAAGCAGCUACUGAAUAAGCCUGAAGAAAUUAAAAUAUUAACCUAUGGGGUUAUAAUGUUGUUAGAAGUGGAGAAACACCCUGUUUUUAUUUUAUUUUCUAUCAUCUUUUUUUGGGUGAGGGCUUGUGUGAAAGAUAUGAGAGUGCAUGUACUGUCAUAAACAUGAAGAGCUGAAAAGAAUCAACUAAAACCACUGAUCUGUGCUCCAUGAUUCUAAAGAAGGCAAAAUAGCUUGGAGACUUUUUUCUUGUUAGUAUCCAUUCUGAUCACAUUGUGAGAGAGCCCUACCCGGUAAUGCACGUUCAUGAGCUCAGUCUUAGUGUGUUAGCUUGCCGUUUUGUUGAUGAAGUUAUCAUUGGUGCACCUUGGGAGAUUACAAAGGACAUGAUAUUUUUAUGCAGGGGUGUAUUUGCAGGGAUUACUUCCCAUUACAGACGUGCAAAUGAAGACUGCAUAUGAAGAUUGUCCAACUACG